rnacentral:rRNA from 1 species
AGGUGUGGAUAGCGGAGAAAUUCCAAUCGAACCCGGAGAUAGCUGGUUCUCCUCGAAAUAGCUUUAGGGCUAGCCUCGUUUUAGUCUGGUGGAGGUAGAGCACUGAAUUCCCAAGGGGGCGUCAAAGCUUACUAAGGGAUAUCAAACUCCGAAUGCCAUACAGAUGAUGAACGGGAGUCAGACUAUACGAGAUAAGUUGGAUAGUCAAAAGGGAAAGAGCCCAGACCUGCAGCUAAGGUCCCAAAGUGCAUGUUAAGUGGAAAAGGAUGUGGGAUCUCUAAGACAACUAGGAUGUUGGCUCAGAAGCAGCCAUUCAUUCAAAGAGUGCGUAACAGCUCACUAGUCGAGAGGUCCUGCGCCGAAAAUGUCCGGGGCUAAAACAUGCCACCGAAGCUCAGGAAUGACAUAGUCAUUGGUAGAGGAGCAUUCUUAACGCGAAGAAGCAGUACCGUAAGGAGCUGUGGAGUGCUAAGAAGAGAGAAUGCCGGAAUGAGUAGCGAGAACAAGGUGAGAAUCCUUGUGGCCGAAUAUCCAAGGUCUCCAGGGUAAAGCUGAUCUGCCCUGGGAAAGUCGGGACCUAAGGUCAGGCUGAAAAGCGUAGCCGAUGGACAACAGGUUGAUAUUCCUGUACCGCAUGGUAACAGAACUGUGGGGACACGGGAGGGAAACAUGGGCCGGAAAUGGAAAGUCCGGUACAAGCGAGGUAGUCGCACAGCAGGCAAAUCCGCUGUGCAUAAGACGAAGCCGUGAUGUGGAGCGAAAUGAAGUAGCGAAGCAUGUGCCCCCUCCUGUCGAGAAAAGCCGCUAUUGUUUGCCAUGCGCCCGUACCGUAAACCGACACAGGUGGAUGAGGAGAGAAUCCUAAGGCCGGCGGGAGAAGCAUUGUCAAGGAACUCGGCAAAAUGACCCCGUAACUUCGGGAGAAGGGGUGCCCACGCAAGUGGGCCGCAGAGAAUAGGCUCAAGCAACUGUUUAGCAAAAACACAGGUCUAUGCGAAACCGUAAGGUGAUGUAUAUGGGCUGACGCCUGCCCGGUGCUGGAAGGUUAAGAGGAGAGGUUAGAGCAAUCGAAGCUUUGAAUUGAAGCCCCAGUAAACGGCGGCCGUAACUAUAACGGUCCUAAGGUAGCGAAAUUCCUUGUCGGGUAAGUUC